CACGUACUCCGCUCUGAACAGAUUCAUUAUGAUACACCAAAGAACUGAUCACGCCGUGUAUACUUACCAAACCAAGUGCAUGAUGAUUUCACUCUUAUACGUAGGCUUGAAAUGAAUAAGUAUGGAUUACCAAACCAAUGCUCCGGGAUUCCUCUAAUUAAUUACAAUUUCUUUUCAAACCAUUCUUUUGAAGAUCAUAA